CUGAGUGGGAUGCGCAAAUAACGGCAGCUAAAGCCAUGAGCAGAGAUCGAAUGAGGCUUGCUCCCUUUUGGGAAAAACUGAAAUAAAACCACCAUAUGAAUGGGUCAUUGAAAACAGGCUGGAAUAUAUUCCCUAUAGUUAUUCUGAAAGUUCAAGGGCAGGGGAAAAGAAAAAAAGAAGAAGCUGUCUCUGUGUUCACUAAACCUCUAAUAUCUGAAAGUGCUUAAAAAACACACACACACUUUUUUUCAUACAAUCAUGGAAAAACAUACUAAGCUUUUGACUCAAUGGUUUUGUUUUUCCAGUGAGUCCCUUCCAGGUUCCACGCGCCAUCUCAUAGUCACGUCUGCUGGGUGAGCUUUGAGCUAACAAACUUUAGAAGAGCUCUUUGCGAUUUUGCCACAUACAUAGAGUUUCAAGUAUCAGCUUGCUGGAAGUGCAGUGGAGAGGAAGGGAGGGAGGGAAGUGGUGUGAGCUUUGCCAACACACCUGCACAAGCUUUGGGCUCUCCUGGACACUCUGUGCACUAAUGAUGUAUAACCUGUAGAGCCUGGCAACACACUCACUGAAGACUAUAACAGACAGACUGUGCAUGCCUCUGAUUUCUAAUUUCUUAAAACAAGUAAUGCUCCCCACCCCCAAUCCUGUGCUGUAGGUAAAUGCUUAGCAUGGAAACCGAGAUGUGCUCAACUGGGCAGAGCUUCUACCAAGGCCAGCCCUUCAAGCUGCCAAGUUCUUCCUACUCUUCUCCUCCCAUCAAGGAUAGGACUGAUUGUGCCAUCUGUUGUAUCGUGAAUCUUGUCAAGAAUCAACAUAAAGACCAACCAGAAAGGUCCAAGAGCCUAAGACAAUUAAAGAACAUUGUCAUGAGCAGGCACAGGUACUUUCCCACCCUGGCUGCUGGCACUUCAGGCAAUGAUUUCCCUACAGCUCUGGAGUACGAGGGAGGAAUAGCAGACAGACAGCUCAGUGGUCUAACUUCAGGGUCCAGAGCUGGAGUAAAAGAGAUCUGGCUAUAUAUCUAUAAACUGUCUGGUGGUAUAAGAUCAUCCCCAUAUUUCCUCAAGUGUGAAUAUAUGUAUUGUGCCACAGAGUCAAUUCAAAGCCCUUCAGCUUCUAACUACUCUCAACAAAUUUGUGAUUCAUGUUGCAGAGAGUAUCA
rnacentral:lncRNA from 1 species